UCUAAUAUUACAGGUCAAAACCCUAUUUUUCCAAUUUCCCCUCUCUCUCUGCUCGACCGAUAUUUUACCCUUGAGGCUGUUGUUCUUUGAUCUCUCGUUCACUCCUCCUGUGCGACUGACGAGCUAAAUCACUAAUCACUACUCAGCUCUCUCUCUUUCUUCUCAUAUCCUCAUACGGGAAGUCUAUCAUAAACGUUUUGAGUAAUGACGUCAAAGUCAACCGAUUCCGAGAAUGGUAGCUCAACCCAAGUAUCACUCAAUGAUGUAGCUUCAAUAUGGACACAAGUGGUUAGUGGCAUAAAGAAAGGUAAAAACUACGGUCUUGGAUCACAACAUUCAGUAGGUCGUUCUUCGACAUUGUUGUCUAGUGGUGCGAAUUAUUCGCAUAAUCACGAAGAGGUAGAAGAAUUACGAAAAGAAUUUUAAGAGUUGAAGGAGGAACGGAAAGAAGAUCGCACAAAUUUUAACAAAUUAUAAAGUCUAGUGGAGAAACUUAUGAGCAUGCGUCAAUUUGAUCCUUUGAAUGGAGAUGAUGGCAGGGAUAAUGAGUUUUAGUUUGUUGUGGUUGUGAUAUUUGAGACAUUAUUAUUUGUUGUGGUUAGAUGUUUAGACUUGGUAAUAUUUACACUUGACUAUGAUUGUAAUGUUUUAGACUAGAUUGAACGGUGCGUUUAACUUGUGUUUGGAUGUUUUAUUUAUAAAUAUUUAUGUUUUCUAUAA